GCCAUAUGUUGUAACACCAGCUCCUGCACAAACACUGAAGUUAAGGAAGGUUGAGCCUAGUCAGUACCUAGAUGGGUGACUGACUGGGAAUACCAGUUGCUGUAAG